UGUGUGUGUGUGUUUGUCAGGUGUCUUACUGUGUGUGUGUUUGUCAGGUGUCUUACUGUGUGUGUGUUUGUCAGGUGUCUUACUGUGUGUGUGUUUGUCAGGUGUGUGUGUGUAUCAGGUGUGUGUAUCAGGUGUGUGUGUGUAUCAGGUGUGUGUGUGUAUCAGGUGUGUGUGUGUAUCAGGUGUGUGUAUCAGG